rnacentral:rRNA from 1 species
GGGACUUAAUUGUCUUGGUAACGCAGCUAACGCGUGAAGUAGACCGCCUGGGGAGUACGGUCGCAAGAUUAAAACUCAAAGGAAUUGACGGGGACCCGCACAAGCGGUGGAUGAUGUGGAUUAAUUCGAUGCAACGCGAAAAACCUUACCUACCCUUGACAUGGCAGGAAUCCUGAAGAGAUUUAGGAGUGCUCGCAAGAGAACCUGCACACAGGUGCUGCAUGGCUGUCGUCAGCUCGUGUCGUGAGAUGUUGGGUUAAGUCCCGCAACGAGCGCAACCCUUGUCAUUAGUUGCUACGAAAGGGCACUCUAAUGAGACUGCCGGUGACAAACCGGAGGAAGGUGGGGAUGACGUCAAGUCCUCAUGGCCCUUAUGGGUAGGGCUUCACACGUCAUACAAUGGUACAUACAGAGGGCUGCCAACCCGCGAGGGGGAGCUAAUCCCAGAAAGUGUAUCGUAGUCCGGAUUGUAGUCUGCAACUCGACUACAUGAAGUUGGAAUCGCUAGUAAUCGCGGAUCAGCAUGUCGCGGUGAAUACGUUCCCGGGUCUUGUACACACCGCCCGUCACACCAUGGGAGCGGGUUCUGCCAGAAGUAG